ACCCCUGUAGCAGAAUAGGCAUAUGCACGGGACUUAAGUUCCCGGAUAUGAGGGUUCGAGUCCCUCUAGGGGUA
rnacentral:tRNA from 1 species